rnacentral:lncRNA from 13 species
GCAUGCUGCAGUGACUGCUGCCAGGAACCUCUGCCACAUAGGUUAUACCACCCUUGAACAAUUCUUCCACAGCAAAUGCAGUGAAAACAGUGGCCAAUGCUCAAAACCAGGUUGUAUGAAGAUAGGGUUUAGCCAUGUUGCCCAGGCUGGUCUAGAACUUCCAGACUCAAGCAAUCCAGCCCAUCUCGACCCCCGAAAGUGCAAGUAUUAUACAGGGCCUUUAGGUGAUGAACGAAAGUGAGAAGACUAGAUCCUGAGAUCAAAUCGCACUGUUUCUGCUUCUGAAAUUUUUCUCAUCACUGUCA